CUUAGUCGUCAUAGCAAGAGGGAUCACCUGAUACCAUUCCGAACUCAGUAGUUAAGCCUUCUUUACGCCGAAGAUAGCCGAAAGGUGAAAAUAGGAAGCGGCUGUUU
rnacentral:rRNA from 1 species